rnacentral:misc_RNA from 1 species
AGCUGCCCAGCCACCUACCACUCUGUUUGGCUAGCCUCGGUUCGUUAGUUUCUCUCGGUAGCCCCAUUGCGAGUUUGCCCCCUUCCUCCUUCCUCAUCGUGUGUAUCUGGUAAAACGUUAUCUUUUACUUUGCCGCGUCCCACACCCCGAUCUCUUCAGUGCUGCCGACUCGCCGCCACCUGCCUCGCUCGUUCGUACAGCGGCCUUUGUUCAUGAGCGGCUCUCCGUACAUUGUGUGUGCCCACUAGCCGGUACACACUAGGAGCCGCACGUUUGUUGUUGCGUAUAUGGUUUUGCGUAUGUGUGGACUGUAUGUGUGUGCGCAACCGAGGAUCGACUUGCAGCAAGUAGCAGGCGAGAGGACCUGUGCGCCAUGCCGCUGUUUAUCAUUCUGUUUGGCCCCCCUGGCAGCGGAAAGGGGACGGUGAGCCAUCUGCUCGUGAAAGAGUACGGAUUUGUCCACUUGAGUGCCGGUAAUCUGCUACGCGAAGAAGUGCUCAAAAAGUCUCCGCUAGGGCUGAGGUGUGCAGAAAUCAUGUCCGAAGGGUCCCUGAUCCCGGACGAGCUCGUCGUCGACCUCGUGUGCAACCGACUGAGUGAGCCGGCUGUGCAGAAGCACGGCAUCUUGCUUGACGGCUUUCCACGGACCCUGCGGCAGGCAGAGGUGCUCAGGGCGCGCGGCUUCAAGUUUGACAUGAUGAUUUUGCUGGACGUGUCGCCGGAGAUUUUGCUCAACCGAUGCCUUUCCCGUCGCCUCGACCCGGUGACGGGGCGCAUUUACAACCUCAAGAGCGACCCGCCUUCGCCGGACGUUGUGGACCGUCUUCAGAUCCGCUCUGACGACACGAAAGAGAAGCACGAGCGUCGCAUGCAGAUCUACAACAGUCAGAAGGCAACUCUCAUCGCUCAUUACUCUGACAUCAUUAUUGAGAUCGAUGCGGACCCGGAGAUCAACGUAGUCUUCAAGGAGCUGCAAAAGAAAAUCAACAAGCGGUUGCAGGGCACCACCACGCAGGUCCCUCUGGCAAAGCUGUAGGGUGGCGAAGGAUGCACACAGGCGCAAACACACGCACACGCGUGCGCACACGAUGGCUACUGCCACGGUGACAAGAGCAGGAAGAAGGGACUCGAUACUGGCCAUUCAGCCAGCAAACUGGUGGCAGUUACGGAGAUGCUGUUUCUCUCCCACCUCUCUCCUCCGUCGUUGGGGCGAUACCGCAGUGAUCGCUCCUCCCCUCCUCCUCUCCCGAUUUCCAGUGGAUUCGCGGUGUAGGCUUGUUCGGCACCGUUCCACUUUUACAUUUUGACUCUCUCGCCCUCUCGCUGCCCUACUUCCGUGCGUUUCUCUUGUCUCAUAG